rnacentral:lncRNA from 1 species
GUUUUGUGUUGUUGAUUUAAGUUACUCUACAUAAUUGUUGCUAUCCUAGGACUUAAUAAGUGACCAGAGUGGGAGAAAAUUCACAGAGAAUUCUUUGCCUCCAGGUAUUGCAUUCUGGGAUUAAAGGGGACACCUACCAAGCCCAGUUCAGUAUCAUUCAUAAUGACUACCUGGUCCUUGAAUGAAAACACUCAUGAGAAGAGGCCACAAGAUGACAACGAAGAAAACAAACACCCUGCUCCUCAUUCAAAGAGGAAU